GUCUGUGGUUCUGGUUAGACUUCACAUUUUUAAAAAAUUGACUACAGAGUUUGGAAUCUUUUAUCUUCAAGAUGGCUUAAGGUAAUUCCCACUUGUGAAUAGAGAAUAUGGGGACAUGGAUGCCUGGAAUAGUGAAAAUGACUUGUGUCCGGUAAAGGGGUGCUGUGACACUCCCAGAAAGCCUACUAAACAUCCAAUUCUGCAGCUGAUAAAGAAAAGGGACAAGAGAGGAUUUUCUUUGUCCAUAUUCUAGUUCAGACCAAUGCACUGUAUUCGCUGAACAUUUAAAUAUGGCAUACAUGGCACUGAGUGCUCUGAGAAAAGAAAAGAUGAAGAGAAGGACACAGUUGGAGGCUUCCAGGAAUUUUUAAGUCUUUGGAGGACAAAUUCAUAAAUGCCAAGAGGUAUAAAAGGACCACCGCAAGAUGUUCCCAGAGCUAGGAUAGAAGAGGUGAAUUCCUGCUCAAAGCACCGAUCAAGGCAACAUCAAACAGGAACAUCUGCCUGGCUGCUAUGGGAGGCCAGAGGUACAGAAGGGUCAACACCCCAGGACCGGUCCUCAACCAAGAUGGUGGAGGGUAAUCCAAGUUCAUCUCACGCAGUGGUACACACCGAUGUGUGCACCACCAUCUGUCAGAGUCCCCAGCUAUAACCCAUCCCAUUAAUGUACCUUUUAUGGCCUUUCCUCACUCUAUCUCAAUUCCCUACUCUCCGUUUGGGCUUCCUGGGAUCACCUCCCAA